UAGCAAAGUACAGCAGAAUAUGUGGCUUAAACAACAAAAUGUUAUUGUCUCACAAUCCUGGAGGAUUGAAGCCUGAAGUCAAGGCCUCAGCAGGGCUUUUCCUUCUGAAGACUGAGGGAAGGAUCUCCCCAGGCUUUCCUCUUUGGCGUGUAGAUGGCCAUCAUCAUGCUGUGUCUUCUCGUGGUUUUGCUUCUGUACCAGUCUGGCACUGAAUCAAGUCAGUCAUACUGGCAUUGGGAAUUGGAUCCAGGGAAUUCUUCACACUGAGCUAUAAUCCCCACCCCGCCCCAUUUUGAGAGUUUUACUAAAUUUCUGAAUCGCCCAGGCUGAGCUGGAAUCUGUAAUCUUCCUGCCUCAACCUCCCAGAGUGCUAGGAUUAGAGCUAGUUUGGGAUAACAAACCUUAAUGCAACAUCGACUUUAAUAAACAUGAUUUUUGUUUGUCGGACCAGUUUACCUGGCUAAUCAACAAAGUUCAUAGAUCUCCUGUAAAAAUCUCC
rnacentral:lncRNA from 1 species